UAAGACGUAGGAUGCAAGCGUUGUCCGGAUUUAUUGGGCGUAAAGAGUUCGUAGGCUGUUUGUUAAGUCUGAUGUUAAAGACUGGGGCUCAACCUCGGAAAUGCAUUGGAUACUGGCAGACUGGAGUGCAGUAGAGGCUAGUGGAAUUCCCAGUGUAGCGGUGAAAUGCGUAGAUAUUGGGAAGAACACCGGUGGCGUAGGCGACUAGCUGGGCUGUAACUGACGCUGAGGAACGAAAGCCAGGGGAGCGAAUGGGAUUAGAUACCCCAGUAGUCCUGGCCGUAAACGAUGGAUACUAGGCGUAGUGGGUAUCGACCCCUGCUGUGCCGCAGCUAACGCGAUAAGUAUCCCGCCUGAGUAGUACGGCCGCAAGGUUG
rnacentral:rRNA from 1 species